AGAGUUUGAUCAUGGCUCAGAUUGAACGCUGGCGGAAUGCUUACACAUGCAAGUCGAACGGCAGCACGGGGCAACCUGGUGGCGAGUGGCGAACGGGUGAGUAAUACAUCGGAACGUGCCCAAUCGUGGGGGAUAACGUAGCGAAAGUUACGCUAAUACCGCAUACGAUCUACGGAUGAAAGCGGGGGAUCGCAAGACCUCGCGCGAAUGGAGCGGCCGAUGUCAGAUUAGGUAGUUGGUGGGGUAAAGGCUCACCAAGCCGACGAUCUGUAGCUGGUCUGAGAGGACGACCAGCCACACUGGGACUGAGACACGGCCCAGACUCCUACGGGAGGCAGCAGUGGGGAAUUUUGGACAAUGGGCGCAAGCCUGAUCCAGCCAUUCCGCGUGCAGGAUGAAGGCCUUCGGGUUGUAAACUGCUUUUGUACGGAACGAAACGGUUCUCUCUAAUACAGGGGGCUAAUGACGGUACCGUAAGAAUAAGCACCGGCUAACUACGUG
rnacentral:rRNA from 1 species